AUGCCUUCACUGCGGUGGGACCUUCUGAAGAUUGGGGCGAUUCUCCCUGAAGAAGACAAGAGGAUAUGCAUCAAAUAUGAAGGGUGUGUCAUUUUCCUUCAUGAAUACUUACUUAUUCUCCUUGAUAGGGUCUACUUGGACAUCAAGGUCUUUCAGUAUUGGUGUGAAUACAAUAAGGAUGUGUCAACCACGUCGCUCUUCUUACAUCUCUUUAAAGCUGAAUGCAGCACUACAAAUUUGGCAUAG